rnacentral:tRNA from 1 species
GCUUUCGUGGUGUAGUGGUCUGCACGCCAGGUUGUGGUCCUGGAAGUGUCGGUUCGAUCCCGACCGAGAGCCC